AAGCGUAUGAAGAAUUUAUGGAUUCCCCUUCACUUAAUUAUAAGUGAUAAAUCCGACUCUGACGCU
rnacentral:snoRNA from 1 species